rnacentral:rRNA from 1 species
ACGGAAGGCAGCAGUGAGGAAUAUUGGUCAAUGGGCGAGAGUCUGAACCAGCCAAGUCGCGUGAGGGAAGACGGCCCUAUGGUUGUAAACCUCUUUUGCGCGGGAAUAAAGAGCCCCAUGCGUGGGGUGUUGCAUGUACCGCGCGAAUAAGGAUCGGCUAACUCCGUGCCAGCAGCCGCGGUAAUACGGAGGAUCCGAGUGUUAUCCGGAUUUAUUGGGUUUAAAGGGUGCGUAGGCGGGACGUCAAGUCGGUGGUGAAAUGGUGCGGCUCAACCGUAGCAUUGCCGUUGAAACUGGGGUUCUUGAGUGCGAAUGAGGUGGGCGGAAUGUGUCAUGUAGCGGUGAAAUGCAUAGAUAUGACACAGAACACCGAUUGCGAAGGCAGCUCACUGGGACGCAACUGACGCUGAGGCACGAAAGCGCGGGGAUCGAACAGGAUUAGAUACCCUGGUA